rnacentral:rRNA from 1 species
GUGUCAGCCGCCGCGGUAAUACGGAGGGUGCAAGCGUUAAUCGGAAUUACUGGGCGUAAAGCGCGCGUAGGUGGCUUGAUAAGCCGGUUGUGAAAGCCCCGGGCUCAACCUGGGAACGGCAUCCGGAACUGUCAGGCUAGAGUGCAGGAGAGGAAGGUAGAAUUCCCGGUGUAGCGGUGAAAUGCGUAGAGAUCGGGAGGAAUACCAGUGGCGAAGGCGGCCUUCUGGACUGACACUGACACUGAGGUGCGAAAGCGUGGGUAGCAAACAGGAUUAGAUACCCUGGUAGUCCACGCCGUAAACGAUGUCGACCAGCCGUUGGGUGCCUAGAGCACUUUGUGGCGAAGUUAACGCGAUAAGUCGACCGCCUGGGGAGUACGGCCGCAAGGUUAAAACUCAAAUGAAUUGACGGGGGCCCGCACAAGCGGUGGAGCAUGUGGUUUAAUUCGAUGCAACGCGAAGAACCUUACCUACCCUUGACAUCUACAGAAGCCGGAAGAGAUUCUGGUGUGCCUUCGGGAACUGUAAGACAGGUGCUGCAUGGCUGUCGUCAGCUCGUGUUGUGAAAUGUUGGGUUAAGUCCCGUAACGAGCGCAACCCUUGUCCUUAUUUGCCAGCGAGUAAUGUCGGGAACUCUAAGGAGACUGCCGGUGACAAACCGGAGGAAGGUGGGGACGACGUCAAGUCAUCAUGGCCCUUACGGGUAGGGCUACACACGUGCUACAAUGGCCGGUACAAAGGGCUGCGAGCUCGCGAGAGUCAGCGAAUCCCUUAAAGCCGGUCUCAGUCCGGAUCGGAGUCUGCAACUCGACUCCGUGAAGUCGGAAUCGCUAGUAAUCGUGAAUCAGAAUGUCACGGUGAAUACGUUCCCGGGCCUUGCACACACCGCCCGUC